AAUGGGGGAAACCCUGACGAAGCAACGCCGCGUGGAGAUGAAGGCCUUCGGGUCGUAAACUCCUGUCGGCGGGACGAAAGCUGGGCGGCCAAUACCCCGAGCAGUUGACUGUACCGGUGGAGGAAGCCACGGCUAACUCUGUGCCAGCAGCCGCGGUAAUACAGAGGUGGCAAGCGUUUGUUCGGAAUUACUGGGCGUAAAGGGCGCGUAGGCGGCUCGAGAAGUCCCGCGUGAAAGCCCCCCGGCUCAACUGGGGAACGGCGCGGGAAACUGACGGGCUUGAGUUCGGGAGAGGGAAGCGGAAUUCCGGGUGUAGCGGUGAAAUGCGUAGAUAUCCGGAGGAACACCGGUGGCGAAGGCGGCUUCCUGGACCGACACUGACGCUGAGGCGCGAAAGCUAGGGGAGCAAACGGGAUUAGAUACCCCGGUAGUCCUAGCUGUAAACGAUGAGCGCUGGGUGUAGGGGGUAUCAACCCCCUCCUGUGCCGAAGCUAACGCAUUAAGCGCUCCGCCUGGGGAGUACGGUCGCAAGGCUG
rnacentral:rRNA from 1 species